AACACCCAAGCAGACCGUUUCCAGCUGGCCUGAAGAGAUAAACAACGCUUAAAGCUGAUUGGUGUAUGACCCACAGAAAUUGGCGUAGUCGGCAGGAUCAGCGAGAGGCACCACGUGGAGCAGCGGUGACUAAACUUCGAGGACGCUCCUCAGAGAGAAAACUGAGCUGGACAAAGAGGGAAACCCACAAGAAUACGGGAAAGUAUCUAACCAGGGAGUGAUGUCCCGCUAGACUCUGCUGGUGUACUCUGCCUGAUCCAACGAACAGAAACAGGUGAAGGCAGUCCUUCCCGAGGUGACGAAUACUCCACUCCACACCUAUCAACCAGGUGAUUGGGUGCUGAUCAAGGACUUCAGAAGGAAGCGGUGGAGCCAGCUCAGGUGGAGAGGACCGUUCCAAGUGCUACUGACGACUAACGCCGCCGUCAAGACCGACGGGAGAGCGACGUGGGUGCAUCACACGCAUUGUAAAAAGGCACCAGAAACGCCACCGCAGGACUAGCAAGAUGCAGCACCUCCUGUGGAUCAGCCUGAUACUAUCACGCAUCAGUGUCAUUACAUCUAAAGAUUGGUGCAUACAAAAGUAUGGAGGAGUAGAAUUGGACUACAUGCUGGGCAGUUCUACUGCAUGGACUUUUGACUUAUGUGACGUAAUUAAUUGUGCAGGAAAGAAUUCGUCAUAUCGCGGAUAUGACACAUACUUAUGUUGGGACGUAAUGGCAUCUCACAAUUGUCAUAAAAACAUAGUGGCUAGUAAUCCAUGGUGUGGUAGAGGAUGGGGAAAUGUAAUUAAAUUUACAGGAACGUGGACACCAACGAUGUCCGGUUAUGAAGCAGGAAAGCACAUUGAUGAAUGGGGCAAGUUGUCGUUCCAGCGUGACUUUAGUGGAACCCAAAAUCCCCUUACACUCUCCACCAAAUGGGAGCGCUCCUUAAUGGAGAAAGAGGGAGGCGGCAGUACUGGCACCACUCCCCUUUGGCUCAUCCUGGGGGUGGAUGUGUAUGGUAGGGACCCCAUGGGACUGAUAAAAAUUAAUUUCCGACGUAAGCCUAACCCAGUCCCGGAAAGCACGGCUAGUCCGGUGACCUCUACUUUACCCCCGCAAAGCAGUGACACUGAACAAAACAAUGGCCUUAAAGGCACAGACUACGUCAAGUGGCCCCCGACAGAUAUUGCUUCACGCUAACUCGGACGAGGAUAACUUCCAGCUAACUUCCAUGUUUUCACCAUAAUAAUUGAAGGUUUUAGUCAAUGAUUGUAUGAGAAUCAAAGAGGGGAAAUGUAAAGGAAAUACUGCAUGCUUCGGUGAUUCACACACAGUCAGUAGUACCAUGUUCUCCAGGGAAAAAAUGAUUAUGCAAGCAAGAAAUGUUAAGGGAGUGUGACUGUAGAUUAGAUAAACAGGAACUGUCUGUCUUGUUUUACUACACUGCGUACAAAGAAGAAACGACACCCAAGCAGACCGUUUCCAGCUGGUCAAAGCAUACAGCCAGAAUCGUAUAUUAAGCAACGCUUUGUAUGCUCGGGGCUCCUCUCGGCAGUGAGCCCCACACUCUGUGGAAUCUUUUUUUUAUUAAACCUUUUACUUAUUAUCCA